rnacentral:tRNA from 1 species
GGGCCUAUAGCUCAGUUGGUUAGAGCAACUGACUCAUAAUCAGUAGGUCUCUGGUUCGAGCCCAGGUGGGCCCA